rnacentral:rRNA from 1 species
AUCAACUUUCGAUGGUAGGAUAGAGGCCUACCAUGGUGGUAACGGGUAACGGGGUGUUAGGGCACGACACCGGAGAGGGAGCCUGAGAAACGGCUACCACAUCCAAGGAUGGCAGCAGGCGCGCAAAUUACCCAAUCCCGACACGGGGAGGUAGUGACAAUAAAUAACAAUACUGGGUUCUUUCGGAUUUCGUAAUUGGAGUGAGUACAAUUUAAAUCUCUUAACGAGGAACAAUUGGAGGGCAAGUCUGGUGCCAGCAGCCGCGGUAAUUCCAGCUCCAAUAGCGUAUAUUAAAGUUGCUGCAGUUAAAAAGCUCGUAGUUGAAUUUCGGGACCAAUAUGUCGGUCGUGCCUCGGUACGUACUGGCAUCGUUGGUUUCUCCCUUCUGACGAACCAUGAUGUCAUUUAUUUGGUGUCGUGGGGAAUCAGGACUGUUACUUUGAAAAAAUUAGAGUGUUUAAAGCAGGCUCACGCUUGAAUACAUUAGCAUGGAAUAAUGAAAUAGGACGUUUGAUUCUAUUUUGUUGGUUUCUAGGAUCGACGUAAUGAUUAAUAGGGAUAGUUGGGGGCAUUAGUAUUCAAUUGUCAGAGGUGAAAUUCUUGGAUUUAUUGAAGACUAACUACUGCGAAAGCAUUUGCCAAGGAUGUUUUCAUUAAUCAAGAACGAAAGUUAGGGGAUCGAAGACGAUCAGAUACCGUCGUAGUCUUAACCAUAAACUAUGCCGACUAGGGAUCGGAUGAUGUUAAUUUUUUAAUGACUCAUUCGGCGCCUUACGGGAAACCAAAGUGUUUGGGUUC